UACGUAGGGUGCAAGCGUUGUUCGGAAUUACUGGGCGUAAAGGGUCUGUAGGUGGCUUGCUAAGUCAGACGUGAAAUCCCUCAGCUUAACUGGGGAACUGCGUCUGAGACUGGCGAGCUUGAGGGCAGGAGAGGAACGCGGAAUUCCAGGUGUAGCGGUGAAAUGCGUAGAUAUCUGGAGGAACACCGGUGGCGAAGGCGGCGUUCUGGACUGCAUCUGACACUGAAAGACGAAAGCUAGGGGAGCAAACAGG
rnacentral:rRNA from 1 species